rnacentral:lncRNA from 1 species
CAAAUUCUAUCUCUCUGUUAAAUCUAGAAACCAAAAGCAACAACCUCUCCAAAUUCUAUCUCUGUCAAAUCUAGAAACCCAAAAGCAACAAUCCAAAUCAAAUCUAAAAUUAUGCAACCAUUUCUUCUGGAUCUCCUUCUCUUUCUCCUAAUCCCCAUCUCCAAAAGCAACUCUCUACCCACCACCGUCGACCGAACUUCUGCCACCACCACCGCCCUCCGCAAUCAACUCUCUACCCACUUUCUGGCCAACAUUUCCUCUCGAUCUCAUCGUUCCCAACAAACCUUUUGAUGAUGAUGACGAUACAAAAAUUAUGAUGAUGAUGUUCGGGUUAAGGUUUGAGAGAGGAACGAGCCAUGAGGGUUUGAGAGAGCAACAACAAAAGGAGCAGAUCUGAUAUGAAAAUUUUGGGUCUUCUUCUUCCUUUGUUCUUUGUUCUUUGUUCUUUGUUCUUCUAUCAUUAAUGAAUAUUUGAUUGCAAAUUCAGAUCUGAGUUUGAUACCUUCAUUAUUUGGAUGUUAGUUCAAAAAUAAAUGUUAAAAAUAUCCAGAUCUGAU